rnacentral:hammerhead_ribozyme from 1 species
ACACUGCUGAAGAGUCCCAAGCACUAGGACGAAACAGCUGUCCAGUAC